AUCAGGGAAGGGGAGUGUUGAUCCGGAUUCUGUCACCUUUAUUGGGUACCUACUGUGUGCCUGGCAAUGGGCUCUGUUCCCCCUUUACCUGGAUUAUUUCAUCUAGUCCUCACCUGAGCCCUAUGCCUGUGUUAUUAUCCUGCUCUGACAGAGAAGGAAACUGAGACUCAGAGGCAUUAUGUAACUUGCCCAAGGUCACACAGCUUGUCAGGAAUGAAGCCAGGAUCCCAGCCCAGGUCUGUUGGCCUCCAGUGGGUUGUCUCUGCUGCCAGAAAGUCCUCCUCCUGGAAAGCCGGUCUGGAGUUGGGGUUUUCAGUCAGAGCUCAUCAGGAUCCCCAGAGGAAGGCCUUCCUGUUAUCUAACUCCCAUUCUCCUAAUGGACUCACAAACAAUCCCAGUUGCCUGUUCCAAGGAAGAGGUCCUGCCCAUGCACCAUGCCUUGAGGAAAUAUCUUGUCACUUUCCUCAUGGGAAAUGAAGCCCAGAGAAGAAAUAAGUGGGAAGACAUGUGGAUAAAGACUUCAGAUUUGGAAUAGAGACACUCUAAGGACUUCCAUGGCCCUGAAGGAUGGAGGUCUGGAUGCUUCACCCCAAGGGGGUCCCCUCUCCCCACCUGAUUCUAUUGCUUCCCACCUCAUCCUUCAGCUUUUUUGUGUGUCUGUGUCUAACUUCCAUUCUUCCUGUUGCACUUGGGAGUGCAUGCUUCUUUCAUUUGGAGGGAGAAUUCUGUCUCAGCUCCCUUUAACUGCCUAAGUUCCUGAAAUUCUACCACUAAAUUCAUACUGUACUUGUGCUCAUUGAGAAUCCACUAUGGUUAGACACUGUGCUGUAAGCUUCAGCUACAUUAUUUCAUCCAAACCUGCUAACCACUCUUUCCAUACUGUUAAUAUAAUGGUAAUAAUAGUGACCAGUUAAUGAGCUAAACUCUUACAUGAAUUAUAUUUAAAUCUCACUGAGAGAGGUGCCUAGGUGGCUCAGUCAAGUGAGCAUCCAAUUCUUGAUUUUGGCUCAGGUCAUGAGCCCAGGGUUGUGGGACUGAGUCCCACACUGGGCACUGCACUGAAUGCAAAGCCUGCUUAAGAUUCUCUCUCUCUCCCUCUACCCCCCUCCCCUGCUCUCUCUCUCUCAAAUAAAAAAAAAAUCUCACUGAGAAAUAACCUGCCCAGUUAGUAUUGAGAAUGGGAUGAGAAAUCUAGGAUUGUCUCCAGUACACCAGACUCUCUGGGGGCAUGAGAACUGCCUGGCUGAUGAAAGGCAGGAGAUAUUUGGAUGCCUUUUCCCCCUCACUCAUUCUUUCCUAGAUGAAGCACAGAGAUGUCCUUCCCUGAGUGCAGAGAGCAGGCACCUCUGAUGACACCCUCAGGUCUGGGCAAGUCUGCCCAUUUGUUGGGGAGGGCAGAGUUGUCAUAGGAGCUACAAGAUCCUUAGAGGGGUUGCCUGGUAUCAUAGGAGGGGGGUGCCCACCCACAUAAUGAGAGAUCCUGCUCUGUGACACAGAGAGAUGCUUCUUAUAUGCCCCAUCCUCUGAGAAUGGCUUAGUUGUUUGUAUGUGUGUGUGUGUGCAUUUGUACAGGAACUUGUGUGCAAAGAACCUGGUGAUUUGCACACAUGUGUGCAAGCCAGAACACGCCUGCCUUCUGUGCAUUUUCCUCAGGAAAUGUGUGUGUGUGAUGUGAGUUAUCUGUUUGUCUAGACCCUCACAAUGGCAAGUAACUUGUACAUUUUUUCAUGUGUGUACCUGUGGGUGGAGUUCACACAGGAUAGAAAGGGUCUGGCCCCAGAGUUGAGUUCUGAGCUCAGCUCCCCACUCUUCUUGUCUGUCCCUAGCUCCCUGCAUCUUCCCCACCUCCCCUCAUGCUGGGCAGAAUGCCCUCAGCCUGUGCCGGCUGGCACACAUGCCACAUGGUGCCUGGCGCGCGUCUGGGCAAGGAUGACGCCCCCAGGCCCGGCUGGGAUACUAAGCCACCCGCUGCCUCCCCCACUUCCAGAACGGAGCGUCCCCAUCCCGUCCCCUUUCUCAGCCAGGGACGCGGGGAGCAGGCGGGGACACGGCACAGACAGAUACAAACACACAGAUGCACCCAGAGACGCCCACAGGCGUGUGCCCCAUAGAGGCACAGGCGUUCACACAGACUCAAGCACAUUCGCAUACACACUCACACACGCACAUUCACACACACCCAAAGAAACUCGUGGGCACUCACCACUUGCACAGAUCUCGGCCUGAGUAAACUCUAGGUACGGGCCUAGCCAGUUAGGCAACGCACCCGCUGUCUCUGUCCGUGGUGCUGAAACCAGAUCUUUCUCCUUACCGAAGGACAAGACAGGGAAGAAGAGAUCAGAGGAGCCCCAAGAUGGGCGAUAGAAGACAGAAGGAAUGGAGGAGAGAGAGGAGAUGAGAGUGAGAAACUCACAGAUAAAGGAGAGAGAGAAUCUAAAGGAUGCCGUGGGAGCCAAGGCUUGGGGGGGGGGGUGCCCAAACACCGGGACUAGGAGAAGCAGGUGAGGAUGAAAGGUGACCUCAGACCCUAUCCCUGCCGAAGUGCAGACUUAAGGUCUAAGGACUAAGCCUUCGAUGCCAUUCAGGGCCAAUUAUGGAAGAUUUUGGUAAGAAUACCACGGCAGGUGGGGGACCCUGGAUGUGUGGUUUCUGUGGCCUCCAAGUGUCCCUUUCCAGGUGCCUUCUUGCUCUGGAAGACCUUAAAAUUGUAGGGGAAGGAGACAGACACUAAAAAAGUUCUAUCAUAACCCUGAAAAAAGCUCUCUACCCGAUCUCUAUUUGUUCAUUUGUU